rnacentral:rRNA from 1 species
UACGGAGGGUGCGAGCGUUGUCCGGAAUCAUUGGGCGUAAAGGGCGCGUAGGUGGCCACUUCAAGCGUGCGGUGAAAGUCGGGGGCUCAACCCCUGAUCGGCCGUGCGAACUGGGGGGCUGGAGCACUGUAGAGGCAGGCGGAAUUCCGGGUGUAGCGGUGGAAUGCGGUAGAGAUCCGGAAGAACACCGGUGGCGAAGGCGGCCUGCUGGGCAGUUUUGCUGACACUGAGGCGCGACAGCGUGGGGAGCAAACAGG